AGAAAGUGAGAAAGAGAUUGGCCAGCGGCGUAGCCCCCAGUCCCCAUCCCCAAUUCCUCUCCCUCUCCCUUUCCCUCGUCUGCCGCCGCCAGCCCCACCGCCGCCCUCCCCGCAGCCGCCGUCACCACCGGCGCCCAGGUGUGGCGCUGCUCUUCCCCACGGUCCUGACGGCAAGGCGGCGACAAGAGUUAGAAGGCGGACGGCCCCGUCAGAUCUCGUGCCGAUGAAGUCAAGGACGAGCUCCACCCGGACGAUGUCGAUCCGCCCCCCUGCCACACUUCUCCAUCGCGUCACCAUAUUCGGAGGAGCCGCGACUUCUGCUCGCGCAUCUGCUCCUCCCGAAGUUGUCGCCAUCGGCAGGAGGAGUGCCGGACCGCACGCCAACUCGAGGACCGCCGCUCCGGCGGACCGUUGUUUCUGGCCGCCGUCCGCCUCUGGUGCCCGGCACAGGAGCUUCCCGGCGCAGGCUUUGCACUACAGAGCAGUUGGUGGUAGGAAGGACAGAGGACGCGAAGAACUCAUGGUUAGGUGUACGGAGAGGGGAGGAGGAGGAAGCACUUCUCUGACAAGAUCCAUAGCCACCACUUCAUCAUCGGCGGCAACCCUCUGUAUUUCCAAUGGUAAGGAUACUGGACAGUGCCAAUUUUAGGUGUGGUAUACUCAAAAUUUUGCUGUAUCUUUUUUCACAAGUAUUUGCAACGGUAAGGAUAGUGGAUAGUGCCAAUUUUAGGUUGUGGUAUACUCAAGAUGAAUUGGUUCUCUUAGGAGAAAAAUAAGGAAGUCAGAGUUUUUGUGUUCUCAUUUAUAAGCUUGAUUUUUUUCCUAACUCAUGAUGCAGUGUAGUAAUGUUAUUCCGGACGCAUGCGAUUUACAAAAUAAAAGGAGUAGCAAAUAUCAUAUACAUGGUUAAGGGACUGGCUGGUUUCUGAUCCACUACAAAUUGAGCAUUCUUUUGUGAAGGAAUAUUACACUAAAAAAGUUGUCAUCAGUAUAUAUCUCAAGAUGAAUUGUGUCACGGGAGCCGAUACGGCGGCAGACACAAGCAGAGCAAAGCAAAGCCGGCGCGACGGCCGGGCCCUCCAAGCACACAACCACUGCCUCCUCGCCAAGAUACGCUAGCCUGCAUCUACAAGAUUUUCAUACUAUGGUGUUAUUGCAAUCCAGGAAAAAAAGGAACUUGCCUGUAUGGUGUUCACUAAAAAGAAGAAUCUGCUAAAAGGUUGGAUGUGGGCUGUACGUGGACAUGAACUUGUUCCUGGGAUUCAGAAGGGAGCACGUGCCAUGGAACUUCAAGAAGACGGAGAACCAUGUGUACCUCCAUGUCGUGCUUUGGCAGAAGCUGGAUGCCGACGAGUCAGAACCUGCUGAAGAAGCCACUCUGCUCACCAUUGGCGCUUUCCGUGGGAAGUGAUAGCAAUGGAAGCGGAGCUGUAGCUCUUCUGAAAAUUGCAAGGAUCUUUUCACACAUCUAUACAAGCCCUAAGACCAGAAGCAAGUUUAAUCUUCUCUUUGGAUUAACAUCUGGCGGACCCUACAAUUAAAAUGGAACUAGCAAGGUUAUCAAUUUUUGUUACAGUGGCUUGAAGUUUUGACCAACAUGUGUGUGAUAUUAUUGACUAUGCAAUUUACUUGAAUAUCAUUGGUUCCCGGAGCAAUGAUCUCUGGAUGCAUGUAUCAAAGCCUCCAGAGAAGCCUUACAUCAAGCAAAUCUUUGAGGUACAGUAGCCGUUUCAAUUUUUUGGUUCAUAACUUUGAUUACCUGCAAUUAUAAAGUCUUCUAUAACUUGAAGUGUGUUUCCUUCAGAAUUUUUCGCAUGUCUCCAAGGAAAUGGGCAUUUCAGUCGCACAGAACAUUAAUGUGUCAAAUUCUAGAGUGUGUUCUUGCCUUUUGAAGGAUUGUAUACCAUCAUUAGGUUUGAAUCCGAUUAGGAUUUCAGAUAAUCUGUCUUACAUGGACCUACUGUCAGUAGUAGCACAAUGGCAUUAUCAUAUCAUGUGCUGCCCAGCGUGACAAACUAGCGGAGCGGUUCCCAGCCGAGCACAAAAAAUAAUAAACUUACACCAAUCUUCGGUUUUCAUGCUACAGAAUUUGUGUGCUCAUAUAGUUGUAUCUAUGAAAUCGCGGACUACAUGCUGAACAAGUUUCAGAUUGAGGAGAGCCUGGUCCCAAGAUGUGCCUAAAUUUGUACAGGGAAUAAGGAACUACAAUGGCCGGUCUGAAGCUUAUGGGCUACGAUUUCGACUACGAGGAUUCCACGCCAGCGUGCACGGUAAAUUGCCAUAUGAGAAGUUGAAGCCGGACCCUGUCCUGAGGAACCUACUGCUUUCGAUGCCUCAAAAUCCCUCUGAUGUUUUUUGCUAAUCGCAUCAGCAAGGGGUCGGUGACAGUUAAAUGCUUCAGCAGUUACAGUUUGUUGUUGCACUGUAGAUAUUCACCAACUCUGACGAGGCUCACGCGGCCGCCCUCCUCUUGGUUAACUCUGACAUUCAUUGUGCCAUUUAUAUCAAAAUAUUGCAUGAGUUUUUGUUGGUUGUUCAGGGACUAAGCUUAUCUUGGUUAAUGUGAAUUUUAAUUGUACUCCGGCUCAAGUGAUUUUUUGAUAUGGUAACUAAUUUCUGGUUCUUUUUGCUAAAUUCUAAUUUAAAAACAAAGCAGUAAGAAAUCAUGCAUGAUGUUUCAAGUAAAAAAAUAAAUAAAUGCAGCCUCGAGUGCUGAUCUAUGAAAUAGAUACCAUCAGGAAGGUCAUGCCUUCAAUUCAUCAUGUUCUUUGCAUGCCUAAUUUUCCUCUCAUCCUCUUUUGUUGUAUUCACAGUGUUUUUUUUUCUGGACAAUGGUUCUGCAUCUUUGCAAGAGGAUUAUCAGGCCUGAGUGACAUUUGUGGGGAAAAAAUCGUUCAAAGCUUGGUGUUCAUUGCUGUUAUUGUUCCUAAUUUGAAGGGGACUGAGAUUUCUACCUAGGACAUCUGAAAUAAAUUAGAUGUUAGUAAGUCUAUUACUAAGACAAAGACAUUGUGUUCUUUUUCAUAAUUUUUCUGAAUUGUCUUGGAGAAGCAAGUAGGCAAUACUGAUGAAGCCCAGUCGUAUGAGCUGAGGGCUCAGACCGUCUCGCCGCGCUGGAUCUGAUCUUACAUGCAAAGCUGUUGAGCAGAUGCUGAUCAUUUAAUGUUGUGACAGUAAUAAGAGUUGUCUGUAUUUCUUCUUUCAUGUACUAUAAAUACAAGAGACAUAUGUACUACACUACUUUUGGACAAACUGUAAUGGGUUGUCCUCGUUACAUGUACAACCAGUGUAAUGGAUCUGAGCUCA